AGAGUUUGAUCCUGGCUCAGGAUGAACGCUGGCGGCGUGCUUAACACAUGCAAGUCGAACGAAGCACUUUAUUUGAUUUCCUUCGGGACUGAUUAUUUUGUGACUGAGUGGCGGACGGGUGAGUAACGCGUGGGUAACCUGCCUUGUACAGGGGGAUAACAGUUGGAAACGGCUGCUAAUACCGCAUAAGCGCACAGCAUCGCAUGAUGCAGUGUGAAAAACUCCGGUGGUAUAAGAUGGACCCGCGUUGGAUUAGCUAGUUGGUGAGGUAACGGCCCACCAAGGCGACGAUCCAUAGCCGACCUGAGAGGGUGACCGGCCACAUUGGGACUGAGACACGGCCCAAACUCCUACGGGAGGCAGCAGUGGGGAAUAUUGCACAAUGGGGGAAACCCUGAUGCAGCGACGCCGCGUGGAGGAAGAAGGUCUUCGGAUUGUAAACUCCUGUUGUUGAGGAAGAUAAUGACGGUACUCAACAAGGAAGUGACGGCUAACUACGUGCCAGCAGCCGCGGUAAAACGUAGGUCACAAGCGUUGUCCGGAAUUACUGGGUGUAAAGGGAGCGCAGGCGGGCGAUCAAGUUGGAAGUGAAAUCCAUGGGCUCAACCCAUGAACUGCUUUCAAAACUGAUUGUCUUGAGUAGUGCAGAGGUAGGCGGAAUUCCCGGUGUAGCGGUGGAAUGCGUAGAUAUCGGGAGGAACACCAGUGGCGAAGGCGGCCUACUGGGCACCAACUGACGCUGAGGCUCGAAAGUGUGGGUAGCAAACAGGAUUAGAUACCCUGGUAGUCCACACCGUAAACGAUGAUUACUAGGUGUUGGAGGAUUGACCCCUUCAGUGCCGCAGUUAACACAAUAAGUAAUCCACCUGGGGAGUACGACCGCAAGGUUGAAACUCAAAGGAAUUGACGGGGGCCCGCACAAGCAGUGGAGUAUGUGGUUUAAUUCGACGCAACGCGAAGAACCUUACCAAGUCUUGACAUCCUGCGACGAUGCUAGAAAUAGUAUUUUCCUUCGGGACGCAGAGACAGGUGGUGCAUGGUUGUCGUCAGCUCGUGUCGUGAGAUGUUGGGUUAAGUCC
rnacentral:rRNA from 1 species